AAAAAACAAGAAUACAAUAAAAAGGGAAUAAAAACAAUACACAAGUAAAUUGCAGUGUAUAUCAAAACACACACAUACACUGACACACACACAGACUUCUCGUUUGUGUGGAUUACAAAGUUGCGGUGUCACUAAAUUUUAAUCGAAUAACGGUGUAUUAAUUAAACAAAAAUAAAAAAAACAACAAAUUUUUACAGCAGAAAAACGCAUAAAAUACAAAUAAAUAAAUAUAAUCAAAAUUAAUAAAUAAAUGAAAUACUUAAAUAGUGACAUGUAGUUCGGCAGUGAGUGAGUAAAAGAGACACACAGAGUAAGAGUGAGAGAGAAAACCUUGAGAUCUAAGUUAGUACGCAACGCACAAAAGCUCAAGUUCAAACAAUAGAGACGCUGCCGCUCUGCCACGGGGAGGCGCAACAAAAGUGCAACAGCUGCACGGCAAAACAACUAAAAACUGCAACAAAAGCCCAAAAGUCAAAGUAAACCCAGACAGACGCAAAGAGUGCAAGAGAGAGAGAGACAGAGACAGUGUGGGUAGAAUGUGUAGUGCAGAGUCUACAAGGCAGCUUAAAGUGGCAGCAGCAAACACAACCGGAUAAUAAGCAUAAGAGCCAACAACAACAACAACUAUAACCAGCACAACAACAACAACAACAACAACAGCUGCAGCUGAAGGCGCUGGCGUAGCGCAGGCCGUGCCCAGCAUUUAAAUAAAACCAAGAAGAAGAAGAAGAA